rnacentral:lncRNA from 1 species
AAAAGGAGUGACUACUCACUUCCCUGUCUGUCUAACUGUUAUUUUUUUAGCUUGUAAUGCGACAAUAUUCAAGAUUUUUCAUUUCGUCUCAAAUGAUUCUCUUGCAUCGUGGAAUGUCUACACUGGUGUUCAUAUUUUUGUUGUUUGCACCAGCUGCUUCUGAGAAUGAAGUCACUGGGAUUAUAGGAGAGACUGUUCUCCUGUCCUGUGACCUGAAUUCAUCCACGGCCAUCGACACAGCAAGACUCCGGUUCCAUUGGCAAGAUAAGUCCGAAAAAGUGUUGUACUCGUUCAACAAAGGAGAAGAGAAUAAACAUCAGGAUAACCUUUACACAAACAGAACUAAAGCCUUUGGGUCUGAGAUGAGUUCUGGGAAUAUCUCUAUCAAACUCAGCCAAGUAACACUUGAAGACAAGCAGAACGUCUACUGGGCUUUCGCGUUUGAUGGGAAUGAUAAGCCUAUCCCCAAGUUGAUAAAAUGGUGUCCCACUACCCUACAUGUGGCAGCACGGUUCCCAACACCCAGUGUGACUGUGAACAAGACAAAUAUGAAUACCGCAGACCCUUCAGGUGAAGUUCAGAAAGGCUUUACUCCUGCCAUUAUUGGAGGCAUUAUAACAAUAUUUAUUGUGAUUUGCCUCGGGCGGAUAUUUAUUGUGUACAAAAAAUGUAAGUUACAAUUUCCG